rnacentral:rRNA from 1 species
UUAGGAGACUUUAAUGAUUUUUUUCCUUUAGAAAAGGAAGGUGGUAAUGUGAGACCAAAUGCGAUGAUGAGAGAUUUUUGAAACUGUUUAGGAGAAUGUGGUCUUGAAGAUAUGGGAUGCAUAGGUGAUCCUUUCACGUGGGGAAGAGGGGACACGAGGGAGAGACUUGAUCGUGGAGUUUGCAACAUGGAAUGGGCGAACAAAUUCCCAUGAGCGGCGAUCAUAAAUGAGGAACACGUUCAUUCUGAUCAUCGCCCCAUCAUCCUAGACACUGAAUAUUUUGAUGGAGAUAUUUCUAAUUGCCUGAUUCUACUACACAACUUGUUCUUGUAG